CCUACGGGAGGCAGCAGUCGAGAAUCAUUCACAAUGGGGGAAACCCUGAUGGUGCGACGCCGCGUGGGGGAAUGAAGGUCUUCGGAUUGUAAACCCCUGUCAUGUGGGAGCAAAUUAAAAAGAUAGUACCACAAGAGGAAGAGACGGCUAACUCUGUGCAAGCAGCGGCGGUAAUACAGAGGUCUCAAGCGUUGUUCGGAAUCACUGGGCGUAAGGCGGGCGUAGGCUGUUUCGUAAGUCGUGUGUGAAAGGCGCGGGCUCAACCCGCGGACGGCACAUGAUACUGCGAGACUAGAGUAAUGGAGGGGGAACCGGAAUUCUCGGUGUAGCAGUGAAAUGCGUAGAUAUCGAGAGGAACACUCGUGGCGAAGGCGGGUUCCUGGACAUUAACUGACGCUGAGGCACGAAGGCCAGGGGAGCGAAAGGGAUUAGAUACCCCUGUAGUC
rnacentral:rRNA from 1 species